AGGGUGAACGCUGGCGGUAUGCUUAACACAUGCAAGUCGAACGGAACCCCUCGGAGUUCAGUGGCGGACGGGUGGGUAACGCGUGAGAAUCUGGCUUCAGGUUCGGGACAACCAUUGGAAACGAUGGCUAAUACCGGAUGUGCCGCAGGGUGAAAGAUUAAUUGCCUGAAGAUGAGCUCGCGUCUGAUUAGCUAGUUGGUGGGGUAAGAGUCUACCAAGGCGACGAUCAGUAACUGGUCUGAGAGGAUGACCAGUCACACUGGGACUGAGACACGGCCCAGGCUCCUACGGGAGGCAGCAGUGGGGAAUUUUCCGCAAUGGGCGAAAGCCUGACGGAGCAAUACCGUGUGAGGGAGGAAGGCUCUAGGGUUGUAAACCUCUUUUCUCAGGGAAGAAUAAAAUGACGGUACCUGAGGAAUAAGCAUCGGCUAACUCCGUGCCAGCAGCCGCGGUAAUACGGAGGAUGCAAGCGUUAUCCGGAUUUAUUGGGCGUAAAGCGUCCGCAGGUGGCAGUUCAAGCCUGCUGUCAAAGGUCGGGGCUCAACCCCGAACAGGCAGUGGAAACUGAACAGCUAGAGUACGGUAGGGGCAGAGGGAAUUCCCAGUGUAGCGGUGAAAUGCGUAGAGAUUGGGAAGAACACCGGUGGCGAAAGCGCUCUGCCAGGCCGAAACUGACACUCAUGGACGAAAGCUAGGGGAGCGAAUGGGAUUAGAUACCCCAGUAGUCCUAGCCGUAAACGAUGGAUACUAGGCGUUGUGAGUAUCGACCCUCACAGUGUCGUAGCUAACGCGUUAAGUAUCCC
rnacentral:rRNA from 1 species